rnacentral:rRNA from 1 species
UGCGGAAUUUUAGAUAAUGGAGGGAACUCCGAUCUAGCGACGCCGCGUGCAGGAAGAAGGUCUUCGGAUUGUAAACUGCUGUGGUAAGGGAAAAAUGCUAUGUAGAGUGGAAAGCUACAUAGAGGGAUGGUACCUUACUAGAAAGCCCCGGCUAACUACGUGCCAGCAGCCGCGGUAAUACGUAGGGGGCGAGCGUUACCCGGAAUCACUGGGCGUAAAGGGAGCGUAGGAGGCGUAACAUGUCAACUGUGAAAACCCGGAGCUCAACUCCGGACUUGCAGUUGAAACUGGUAGGCUUGAGGACGGUAGAGGAAGACGGAACUGCCAGUGUAGGGGUAAAAUCCUUAGAUAUUGGCAGGAACGCCGGUGACGAAGGUGGUUUUCUGGGCCGGUUCUGACACUGAUGCUCGAAAGCCAGGGGAGCGAACGG